UACGGGGGGGGCAAGCGUUGUUCGGAAUUACUGGGCGUAAAGGGUGCGUAGGCGGCUUUCUAAGUUGGAUGUGAAAACUCUGGGCUCAACCCAGAGCCUGCAUCCAAAACUGGAGAGCUUGGGUUCUGGAGGGGAAAGCGGAAUUCCUGGUGUAGCGGUGAAAUGCGUAGAUAUCAGGAGGAACACCGGUGGCGAAGGCGGCUUUCUGGACAGAUACCGACGCUGAGGCACGAAAGCUAGGGGAGCAAACAGG
rnacentral:rRNA from 1 species